rnacentral:lncRNA from 1 species
AUUUGGCUAACAUUGGACAGAACAGACAUUUGAAGUGACCCUUGUGUUGCGGCCUCGGUAGGAGAGCUGGCUCAGGCCCUGAGUACCCAUUCGGCUUCCUUUAUAACAGGUGUUAGGGGACUCAACUAGCUCUCUGUUACUCUCAGAUAUUUUCUAUUUGCAGCUCUACUCUGCAAAUUAAUUUUACCAACUACAGAUCUUCACUCAUCACUGAACACCAACUCAAGGAACCAAGCCUUGAUCCAUGAAUCUGAUUGACUUCCUAGACUUCCCCACUCUUGGUGCAGUUGGACCAAACUUUUCUUCGGUUAUCUCCCUAAAAUAGCAAUGAUUUGCUGACCACUUACCACCUACUCACCAGGAGUCACACCAUUAUUUUAAGGAAACACACA